rnacentral:tmRNA from 1 species
AAGUAGAUGCGAACAACAUCGUACCUUUUGCUCGUAAAGCAGCUGCUGUUGCCUAAAAACCUCUAACAGGUUCGAGCGUCUGUGGUUCGACUCCGUUAAGGAUUACAGACAAACCCCCAACGGAUGCUUUAGCAGGUUACCUCUGGUUGGCUUGCUAGAUAAGACUUUACCAGAGCAUCCCACCAUCCGGGAUAAUGGAUGGUCCCUGCCUCUGGGGUUACAGAGGAUAAGCCUGUGAAUGAGCGGAAAGUUAAUACCCAUUGCGGACAGCGGUUCGAUUCCGCUCAGCUCC